AACAGAAAUAUUCAUCAAACCACCUAAACGAUUGUUGCACGAUCUGAUUGCUUCGUAACCAACUGUCUUUGUUUAAUGGCAAGCUUUUUGGUGCCUGUAUAUAAGGAUUCACAACUAAAAUGUGCAAACUGAAAGCUAAUUUUAUACUCAAUUUAAAAUUUUAAUCUUUGAAAUGGCAGCAAGAGAUAUCACCAAUCACUGAAACGAAA